rnacentral:tRNA from 16 species
GGUGGUCCAGUGGUAAAAUCCUAGACUGUUAUCGCGCAGGCGUGGGUUCAAACCC